AUAUAGUUGUUAGCUUCCUUUCUUGUUUUGGCACUGUACUUCAAAUAUUUCAUGUUUUGUUUGGUUGUUGAGAAAAUGAGAGAAAGCGGACAAAAAGAAGAAAAGAGCAAGAAUUUGAGAUACCCAUUUUGUUAUAGCGUUGAUGCAAGUAAUGAUUUUCGCUGAAAUGCUUCUUUUUUUGUCGGUAAUGCUCAAGAAAGGAGGAACAUGUUUAUGGUUAAGAAAUUAUCAAAAAUGAAAAUUAAGUUUUUUAUUUUUUUAAGGUGAAAAUUCUUGGGUUGACUUCAACUGAAAUGAUUCUUGCUUUUUUUAUUGCUUUAUAGGCAUCAAGCUCUGAUAGAACUAGAACUAUGUGUCUGCCAUAUACUUCUGUAGUAUCAAUCUUGUAAUUGUUUUUUGUGAAAGGCUAGAAAUAUUGGCUUUUCUAGGAUUUAGCUGAAAUUUCACUGCCCUUUCUGAUAUAUUCUGUGUUCUUGGUGGAAAAAGAUGGGUGGCAAAGCCGUUGGGU
rnacentral:misc_RNA from 1 species